rnacentral:rRNA from 1 species
UACGUAGGGUGCAAGCGUUAUCCGGAAUUAUUGGGCGUAAAGAGCUCGUAGGCGGUUUGUCACGUCUGCUGUGAAAAACUGGGAGGCUCAACCUCCAGCCUGCAGUGGGUACGGGCAGACUAGAGUGCGGUAGGGGAGAUUGGAAUUCCUGGUGUAGCGGUGGAAUGCGCAGAUAUCAGGAGGAACACCGAUGGCGAAGGCAGAUCUCUGGGCCGUAACUGACGCUGAGGAGCGAAAGCAUGGGGAGCGAACAGG